GCCGAGAAAAUACAUUUCUAUUGUUUAUAAGCCAUCCAGUCUUUGGUACUUCAUUAUAGAAGUCUGAACUCAGACGGACCUACACACACACACACACACACACACACACACACACGUGCCAGUAUGCAAGGGCACACAUUAGCACGCAUGGGCACUUCUGAUCAGGACUCCUUAAAGGGGAAAAAAUCCACGCCCAAAUGCCCACCUGUUCCUUUAACUUCAGCAGAUGUACUUCCCUUCUUUGUGAAUGGAACCAACCAGUAUAUUCUGAGACAAAGAAGAGAACUUGGAACUACCACCAGUCACUGUAAAGAAACCAUCCUGUGGUACCAGCAAACAGCAAAGGAUGCCUGCCCUUCCAGCCAAAGAUGAGGACCUGUUCCCUGCCUCAAGGGUUGCCCUGUGAACUGGUAGUGUCACUCAGCAGCGCUCAUCUCUGCCCCACCCCCACACCUUGCUGGAUCCUCCCAAGCGACUCUGAGGACCCCGGAAAGUGAGAGGCAAAAUGGAGCUGUGUGUGGUCCAGGUACCUUCCUCAGCUCUGUUGGAGGUGUCCUCUCUCCUGAGCCUGGUAAGCAGAGUGCCCUGAAGAAAGCGCUGAGAGACAGGUGAGCGCCUCACUGCUGUCCCUGCCAACCAGUGAGGGUGCAGCAGUGUCAUCGUGGGGCCUGGUGGGGCAAGCUGAUCAAGGCCAAUCCCCUAUGCAGUCACCUGGGGCAGCAGCUCAGUCCGAAGGACAACGUGAGGCAGUGGGCACCCAGGGGAAAGCUCUGGCCCGAGAGUUAGGACCAGCCCACUUCGUGGAAGGUGACCCUUGGCCUCAGUCUGCUUCCAGUAUGAAAUGAGAAAGUAGCGUAGAUUGAUGCUCUCAACGCUGUCUGCACAUCAGAAUCCCCAGGGAGCAACAAAAUCACCAAAGCCUGAGCCCACCUUGAGAUUCUGAUUUACUGGUCCGGGUGUGGCUGGAUAAACGGGGUUUUAGACACUCCCGGGGGAUUCUAGUGAGAAGUACAGUUGAGUCCCAUUGAAUAGCUCCAGUGUUCUGUGCAGGCCAAAGGCGGGUGAGAACCUUCUCCUAACAUUCCACUUAUUUACCUUACUUUCCUGCAUCAGCAAACUUGGGAUGGAAAUGAUCAUAACCAACCUCCAGAUAAUAGGUGGUCUCCUUUAUCCUUGAAUGAGGAACUUUUAAGGUUCAACAAGCAAGAAGAAAGAGAGCUAGUUAGCCUGGAGCACUGAGGCCCGCAAAAGACCAAAAGGCUUUCAAGUAUAAACAGGUGGAUGAUAUGUAUAAUAUAUGCACAUUACAUGGGUGUGAAGAACCAGUUCUGUGUUCUCUGAGAGCAAAACAUGAGCUCUGAGAGCAGAAAACGACUUGGGUAAAUACCUGGGCCAACCACCUCUCUACUCACAAAAAAGGCAAUUUCCUUAAUGGCUCUAGUGUUCCCCAUGGGUGUACCCCCCUUCCUGGCUGCACGCUGGGCCACUGGAUGGCACAGUUGCUUCUUCACAGGUGUGGAAGAGGUGAGAGUGUCUUGGAUACCUCAAGUACACAGGUGAGGAAGGAGCUG
rnacentral:lncRNA from 10 species